GCGCCCGUAGGCUCAACGGAUAGAGCAGCGGCCUUCUAAUCCGCCGGUUGCAGGUUCGAGUCCUGCCGGGCGCGCC
rnacentral:tRNA from 1 species